CAGCGGCCCUAGUGGUGAUCGUUAUUAUUGGGCCUAAAGCGUCCGUAGCCGGUUCGGUAAAUCUCUGGGUAAAUCGUUGGGCUUAACUCAACGAAUUCUGGGGAGACUGCCGAACUUGGGACCGGGAGAGGUCGGAGGUACUCCAGGGGUAGGGGUGAAAUCCUGUAAUCCUUGGGGGACCACCGGUGGCGAAAGUGUCCGACCAGAACGGGUCCGACGGUAAGGGACGAAGCCCUGGGGCGCGAACCGGAUUAGAUACCCGAGUAGUCC
rnacentral:rRNA from 1 species